rnacentral:rRNA from 1 species
UACGUAGGGGGCAAGCGUUGUCCGGAUUCAUUGGGCGUAAAGAGCUCGUAGGCGGUCUGUCGCGUCUGCUGUGAAAACCCGGGGCUCAACCCCGGGCUUGCAGUGGAUACGGGCAGACUAGAGUUCGGUAGGGGAGACUGGAAUUCCUGGUGUAGCGGUGAAAUGCGCAGAUAUCAGGAGGAACACCGGUGGCGAAGGCGGGUCUCUGGGCCGAUACUGACGCUGAAGCACGAAAGCGUGGGGAGCAAACAGG